GGAGUUAGCCGGUGCUUCUUCUGUGAGUGAUGUCCUUCCUGCCGGCUAUUAACCCGCAGGCCUUCUUCCUCACUGAAAGUGCUUUACAACCCGAAGGCCUUCUUCACACACGCGGCAUGGCUGGAUCAGGGUUGCCCCCAUUGUCCAAUAUUCCCCACUGCUGCCUCCCGUAGGAGUCUGGGCCGUGUCUCAGUCCCAGUGUGGCUGAUCAUCCUCUCAGACCAGCUACGGAUCGUCGCCUUGGUGAGCCGUUACCUCACCAACCAGCUAAUCCGACAUAGGCUCAUCCGAUAGCGCGAGGCCCGAAGGUCCCCCGAUUUCCCCCGUAGGGCGUAUGCGGUAUUAGCCUGGGUUUCCCCAGGUUAUCCCCCACUACCGGGCAGAUUCCUAUGCAUUACUCACCCGUCCGCCGCUCGCCACCAGGGAGCAAGCUCCCCGUGCUGCCGCUCGACUUGCAUGUGUUAGGCCUGCCGCCAGCGUUCAAUCUGAACCAAGAUCAAAUUCUGA
rnacentral:rRNA from 1 species